GGCCGCUGUCCCCCCGUAGCUGUCCCCGCGGCGGUGGCACUCAGGUGGCCGCUGUCCCCCCGUAGAUGUCCCCGCGGCGGUGGCACUCAGAUGGCCGCUGUCCCCCCGUAGCUGUCCCCCCUGGUGGCCGCUGUCCCCCCGUAGCUGUCC